rnacentral:rRNA from 1 species
AUGCAUUGGGUGUCUUGGAAGGAGCUCGCAACGCCCAAGUGUAAAGGUGGAAUGGGUUUCAGAGACCCACAUAUAUUCAAUCUUGCCAUGUUGGGGAAGCACGGAUGGCGUUUUCUAACGAACCCUGAUUCCCUUUGUGCAAGAGUAUUGAAGGGACGGUAUUUUCCUGAUACGGAUUUUAUGCAUGCUGCCUUACCCAAGUCGGCUUCGGCCACUUGGAAAGCUAUUAUAGCAGGAAGAGAA